GACGAACGCUGGCGGCGUGCUUAACACAUGCAAGUCGAACGGAAAGGCCCUGCGUUUGUGGGGUGCUCGAGUGGCGAACGGGUGAGUAACACGCGAGUAACCUGCCCUUGACUUUGGGAUAACUUCAGGAAACUGGGGCUAAUACCGGAUAGGAGCUCCUGCUGCAUGGUGGUGGUUGGAAAGUUUCGGCGGUUGGGGAUGUACUCGCGGCUUAUCAGCUUGUUGGUGGGGUAGUGGCUUACCAAGGCUUCGACGGGUAGCCGGCCUGAGAGGGUGACCGGCCACAUUGGGACUGAGAUACGGCCCAGACUCCUACGGGAGGCAGCAGUGGGGAAUAUUGCACAAUGGGCGGAAGCCUGAUGCAGCAACGCCGCGUGCGGGAUGACGGCCUUCGGGUUGUAAACCGCUUUCGCCUGUGACGAAGCGUGAGUGACGGUAAUGGGUAAAGAAGCACCGGCUAACUACGUG
rnacentral:rRNA from 1 species